rnacentral:rRNA from 1 species
UACAGAGGAUGCAAGCGUUAUCCGGAAUGAUUGGGCGUAAAGCGUCUGUAGGUGGCUUUUUAAGUCCGCCGUCAAAUCCCAGGGCUCAACUCUGGACAGGCGGUGGAAACUACCAAGCUGGAGUACGGUAGGGGCAGAGGGAAUUUCCGGUGGAGCGGUGAAAUGCGUAGAGAUCGGAAGGAACGCCGGUGGCGAAAGCGGCGCGCUGGAUCCCUUCUGACGCUGAUGCGCGAAAGCCAGGGGAGCGAACGGG